rnacentral:rRNA from 1 species
UACGAAGGGGGCUAGCGUUGCUCGGAAUUACUGGGCGUAAAGGGCGCGUAGGCGGCCGAUCAAGUUAGAUGUGAAAGUCCUGGGCUUAACCUGGGGACUGCAUUUGAUACUGAUUGGCUUGAAUUCGGGAGAGGAUAGCGGAAUUCCCAGUGUAGAGGUGAAAUUCGUAGAUAUUGGGAAGAACACCGGUGGCGAAGGCGGCUAUCUGGACCGACAUUGACGCUGAGGCGCGAAAGCGUGGGGAGCAAACAGG